UGCUGUUGUACGGCCCUCCUUGGUUGGUGACAGAUCUAGGUGCUGUUGUACGGCCCUCCUUGGUUGGGGACAGAUCUAGGUGCUGUUGUACGGCCCUCCUUGGUUGGUGACAGAUCUAGGUGCUGUUGUACGGCCCUCCUUGGUUGGGGACAGAUCUAGGUGCUGUUGUACGGCCCUCCUUGGUUGGGGACAGAUCUAGGUGCUGUUGUAGGGCCCUCCUUGGUUGGUGACAGAUCUAGGUGCUGUUGUACGGCCCUCCUUGGUUGGUGACAAAUCUAGGUGCUGUUGUACGGCCCUCCUUGGUUGGUGACAGAUCUAGGUGCUGUUGUACGGCCCUCCUUGGUUGGGGACAGAUCUAGGUGCUGUUGUACGGCCCUCCUUGGUUGUGGACAGAUCUAGGUGCUGUUGUAGGCCCUCCUUGGUUGGGGACAGAUCUAGGUGCUGUUGUACGGCCCUCCUUGGUUGGUGACAGAUCUAGGUGCUGUUGUACGGCCCUCCUUGGUUGUGGACAGAUCUAGGUGCUGUUGUAGGCCCUCCUUGGUUGGGGACAGAUCUAGGUGCUGUUGUACGGCCCUCCUUGGUUGGUGACAGAUCUAGGUGCUGUUGUACGGCCCUCCUUGGUUGGGGACAGAUCUAGGUGCUGUUG